GCUACAGAUAUUAAAUGGGCUUUAACAAGUCACCCUUAUGCAAAAGGAAAGUUAGAGAAAUACAACUCAAGUUUGAAACCUCUGGGUGCUACAAGACAAGGGCUCAUCUGGAUUCCUUUGAGUGGACUUCUGAUAAGCACCUGCCUGAGCCCUACCAACAACAGACAUGAAGGCCAGAGGAUUGGAAGGGUGGAGCAGGCAGGGAAGGAGCCUGUAAAGAGCUCUGCUGCUGCAAGUGCCUUUCCCCACCCUGCCAGCAUCCCCCACUGCCACCAUGGCUCAGUGCUUCUGCUGCUGCCACUUGUGCCAGUGUUUCCUCUUGGAGGAGGAGAAAGCUGCCAUCCUGAUUGGCAGAAAAAUCAACAAAAUACUGAGAGAGAAGAGACGAGACCAGCAAGAGCUGAAAUUGCUGCUUCUUGAGAUUUGAUGCAGGCACUGUUUCCCAAACACCCCCGUUUUGGUGAACUCGCUGUGCUGGGAUGCUGCUCUAAGCAUGGUGAGAGGCCUCACUGGCUGGUCCCAGCUCCUCAGGCCAGGAGCACCCUGCUGCCCCAGGGAUCAGCACACGCCACUGGAAGGGUGACACCCACUGCAGCACAGCAAGGGGACCCGAGCAAGGAAACGCAACCAGCAGAUGCCACCCAUGGUUUCUAAACCAGCACAACUCCACCCUUCCUGGAGCAGAAAAACACUUGCCAGGCACAGGUGCCUGGGCCAGGCCAGGCAGCACAAGGUGGGGGAGCCUGAUGGGACAGGGAUGGGGACACCAGCUGCCUGUGUGCCAGCCUGAGGGCUGCCAGACGUGCUCCAGGGCCAUUCCGCCAGGGCCACAGGGCCAAGCUUCACACCAAACUUCACGGCUUGCUUUUCUAAUCAGAAUUUCUGAAAAUACAAGUUUUAAUCAGGACUGUGCAACAGCACAGCAGGAAAACCUCAACUGAAGUCGUUGAUAUUUUAUCUUGCAUUUGUAGUUUGCUCUCUUUUCCCCUUGACUGCUCAAAGAUCAGGCACAUCAGUCACUCCAUCACAAUGUCUUUGUAGUAAUGCGCCAGGCUGUUUGCCCUCAUUUACUGCAGCUUCUUCUUCUGUUUUGCAGCCUGAUAUUUCACUAUUAAACAUCAUCUCUUUUCCAU